ACGAACGCUGGCGGCGUGCUUAACACAUGCAAGUCGAACGGAAAGGCUCCAGCUUGCUGGCGUACUCGAGUGGCGAACGGGUGAGUAACACGUGGGUAAUCUGCCCUGCACUCUGGGAUAAGCCUGGGAAACUGGGUCUAAUACUGGAUAUGACCUUUCUCCUUAUAGGGUUUGGUGGAAAGUUUUUCGGUGUAGGAUGAGCCCGCGGCCUAUCAGCUUGUUGGUGGGGUGAUGGCCUACCAAGGCGACGACGGGUAGCCGGCCUGAGAGGGUGAUCGGCCACAUUGGGACUGAGAUACGGCCCAGACUCCUACGGGAGGCAGCAGUGGGGAAUAUUGCACAAUGGGCGGAAGCCUGAUGCAGCGACGCCGCGUGAGGGAUGACGGCCUUCGGGUUGUAAACCUCUUUCAGCAGGGACGAAGCGUAAGUGACGGUACCUGCAGAAGAAGCACCGGCUAACUAUGUG
rnacentral:rRNA from 1 species